CCUACGGGAGGCAGCAGUAGGGAAUAUUGCUCAAUGGGGGAAACCCUGAAGCAGCAACGCCGCGUGGAGGAUGAAGGUUUUCGGAUUGUAAACUCCUUUUGUUAGAGAAGAUAAUGACGGUAUCUAACGAAUAAGCACCGGCUAACUCCGUGCCAGCAGCCGCGGGAAUACGGAGGGUGCAAGAGUUAAUCGGAAUCACUGGGCGUAAAGAGCGCGUAGGUGGGGUAGCAAGUCAGAUGUGAAAGCCUAAGGGUUAACCAUAGAACUGCAUUUGAAACUGUUAUUCUAGAGUAUGGGAGAGGUAGGUGGAAUUCUUGGUGUAGGGGUAAAAUGCGUAGAGAUCAAGAGGAAUACUCAUUGCGAAGGCGACCUGCUAGAACAUAACUGACGCUGAUGCGCGAAAGCGUGGGGAGCAAACAGGAUUAGAUACCCUUGUAGUC
rnacentral:rRNA from 1 species